rnacentral:rRNA from 2 species
GUCAGGAUGAACGCUGGCGGCGUGCCUAAUACAUGCAAGUCGAACGAGUUCUGAUUAUUGAAAGGUGCUUGCAUCUUGAUUUAAUUUUGAACGAGUGGCGGACGGGUGAGUAACACGUGGGUAACCUGCCCUUAAGUGGGGGAUAACAUUUGGAAACAGAUGCUAAUACCGCAUAAAUCCAAGAACCGCAUGGUUCUUGGCUGAAAGAUGGCGUAAGCUAUCGCUUUUGGAUGGACCCGCGGCGUAUUAGCUAGUUGGUGAGGUAACGGCUCACCAAGGCAAUGAUACGUAGCCGAACUGAGAGGUUGAUCGGCCACAUUGGGACUGAGACACGGCCCAAACUCCUACGGGAGGCAGCAGUAGGGAAUCUUCCACAAUGGACGCAAGUCUGAUGGAGCAACGCCGCGUGAGUGAAGAAGGCUUUCGGGUCGUAAAACUCUGUUGUUGGAGAAGAAUGGUCGGCAGAGUAACUGUUGUCGGCGUGACGGUAUCCAACCAGAAAGCCACGGCUAACUACGUGCCAGCAGCCGCGGUAAUACGUAGGUGGCAAGCGUUAUCCGGAUUUAUUGGGCGUAAAGCGAGCGCAGGCGGUUUUUUAAGUCUGAUGUGAAAGCCCUCGGCUUAACCGAGGAAGUGCAUCGGAAACUGGGAAACUUGAGUGCAGAAGAGGACAGUGGAACUCCAUGUGUAGCGGUGAAAUGCGUAGAUAUAUGGAAGAACACCAGUGGCGAAGGCGGCUGUCUGGUCUGUAACUGACGCUGAGGCUCGAAAGCAUGGGUAGCGAACAGGAUUAGAUACCCUGGUAGUCCAUGCCGUAAACGAUGAAUGCUAGGUGUUGGAGGGUUUCCGCCCUUCAGUGCCGCAGCUAACGCAUUAAGCAUUCCGCCUGGGGAGUACGACCGCAAGGUUGAAACUCAAAGGAAUUGACGGGGGCCCGCACAAGCGGUGGAGCAUGUGGUUUAAUUCGAAGCAACGCGAAGAACCUUACCAGGUCUUGACAUCUUUUGAUCACCUGAGAGAUCAGGUUUCCCCUUCGGGGGCAAAAUGACAGGUGGUGCAUGGUUGUCGUCAGCUCGUGUCGUGAGAUGUUGGGUUAAGUCCCGCAACGAGCGCAACCCUUAUGACUAGUUGCCAGCAUUUAGUUGGGCACUCUAGUAAGACUGCCGGUGACAAACCGGAGGAAGGUGGGGAUGACGUCAAAUCAUCAUGCCCCUUAUGACCUGGGCUACACACGUGCUACAAUGGAUGGUACAACGAGUUGCGAGACCGCGAGGUCAAGCUAAUCUCUUAAAGCCAUUCUCAGUUCGGACUGUAGGCUGCAACUCGCCUACACGAAGUCGGAAUCGCUAGUAAUCGCGGAUCAGCACGCCGCGGUGAAUACUUUCCCGGGCC